GGACUACCAGGGUAUCUAAUCCUGUUUGCUCCCCACGCUUUCGCGCCUCAGCGUCAGUCAUGGACCAGGUUGCCGCCUUCGCCACCGGUGUUCUUCCCAAUAUCUACGAAUUUCACCUCUACACUGGGAAUUCCACAACCCUCUUCCACACUCAAGUCUGGAUGUAUUAAGCGCAGUCCCCAGGUUGAGCCCAGGAAUUUCACGCCUAACUGUCCAAACCGCCUACGCGCCCUUUACGCCCAGUCAUUCCGAGCAACGCUAGCCCCCUUCGUAUUACCGCGGCUGCUGGCAC
rnacentral:rRNA from 1 species